GGGGAAUAUUGGACAAUGGGCGCAAGCCUGAUCCAGCCAUGCCGCGUGAGUGAAGAAGGCCUUCGGGUUGUAAAGCUCUUUCGCACGUGACGAUGAUGACGGUAACGUGAGAAGAAGCCCCGGCUAACUUCGUGCCAGCAGCCGCGGUAAUACGAAGGGGGCUAGCGUUGUUCGGAAUUACUGGGCGUAAAGCGCGCGCAGGCGGCUUUGUCAGUCAGAGGUGAAAUCCCGGGGCUCAACCUCGGAAUUGCCUUUGAUACUGCAAGGCUUGAGGACGAGAGAGGAUGGUGGAAUACCCAGUGUAGAGGUGAAAUUCGUAGAUAUUGGGUGGAACACCGAUGGCGAAGGCAGCCAUCUGGCUCGUUUCUGACGCUGAGGCGCGAAAGCGUGGGGAGCAAAC
rnacentral:rRNA from 1 species